CAAUAGCGUAUAUUAACGUUGUUGCAGUUAAAAAGCUCGUAGUUGGAUUUCUGGAGGGAGCGUCGGCCCGUAUUUACGAGUGCGUGACGUCUCUGUCCAUCCUUGCGGGAAGGCACGGCAUUGAUUUGUUGUGUCGGAUCGCAUCAUUUACUGUGAAAAAAUUAGUGUAUUCAAAGCAGGCUUUCGCUUGAAUACAUUAGCAUGGAAUAAUAAGAUAGGACUUUGGUGCUAUUUUGUUGGUUGAGCCUAAAGUAAUGAUUAAUAGGGAUAGUUGGGGGCACCUGUAUUGCGUUGUCAGAGGUGAAAUUCUUGGAUUUACGCAAGACAAACAGCUGCGAAAGCGUCUGCCAAGGAUGUUUUCAUUAA
rnacentral:rRNA from 1 species